rnacentral:rRNA from 1 species
GACGAACGCUGGCGGCGUGCUUAACACAUGCAAGUCGAGCGGAAAGGCCACUUCGGUGGUACUCGAGCGGCGAACGGGUGAGUAACACGUGAGUAAUCUGCCCCUGGCUUUGGGAUAGCCACCGGAAACGGUGAUUAAUACCGGAUACGACCACUUCUCGCAUGGGAUGGUGGUGGAAAGUUUUUUCGGCCAGGGAUGUGCUCGCGGCCUAUCAGCUUGAGGGUGAGGUAAUGGCUCACCAUGGCUUCGACGGGUAGCCGGACUGAGAGGGUGACCGGUCACACUGGGACGGAGACACGGCCCAGAAUCCUACGGGAGGCCGCAGUGGGGAAUAUUGGACAAUGGGCGGAAGCCUGAUCCAGCAACGCCGCGUGAGGGAUGACGGCCUUCGGGUUGUAAACCUCUUUCAGCAGGGACGAAGCGCAAGUGACGGUACCUGCAGAAGAAGCACCGGCCAACUACGUGCCAGCAGCCGCCGUAA